rnacentral:rRNA from 1 species
UGGGGAAUUUUGGACAAUGGGCGAAAGCCUGAUCCAGCAAUGCCGCGUGUGUGAAGAAGGCCUUCGGGUUGUAAAGCACUUUUGUCCGGAAAGAAAUCCUUGGCUCUAAUACAGUCGGGGGAUGACGGUACCGGAAGAAUAAGCACCGGCUAACUACGUGCCAGCAGCCGCGGUAAUACGUAGGGUGCAAGCGUUAAUCGGAAUUACUGGGCGUAAAGCGUGCGCAGGCGGUUUGCUAAGACCGAUGUGAAAUCCCCGGGCUCAACCUGGGAACUGCAUUGGUGACUGGCAGGCUAGAGUAUGGCAGAGGGGGGUUAGAAUUCCACGUGUAGCAGUGAAAUGCGUAGAGAUGUGGAGGAAUACCGAUGGCGAAGGCAGCCCCCUGGGCCAAUACUGACGCUCAUGCACGAAAGCGUGGGGAGCAAACAGGAUUAGAUACCCUGGUAGUCCACGCCCUAAACGAUGUCAACUAGUUGUUGGGGAUUCAUUUCCUUAGUAACGUAGCUAACGCGUGAAGUUGACCGCCUGGGGAGUACGGUCGCAAGAUUAAAACUCAAAGGAAUUGACGGGGU